rnacentral:tRNA from 1 species
GCAUUGGUGGUACAGGGGUAGAAUUCUUGCCUUCCAUACAAGAGACCCAGGUUGGAUUCCUAGCCAAUGCA